rnacentral:rRNA from 1 species
CCGGCGACCGGCGGACGGGUGCGUAACGCGUAUGUAACCUACCUUUGACAGGGGGAUAACAUCGAGAAAUUGGUACUAAUACCCCAUAACAUCACCGGAGGCAUCUUCGGUGGUUGAAAACUCAGGUGGUCAGAGAUGGACAUGCGUUGUAUUAGCUAGUUGGUGAGGUAACGGCUCACCAAGGCGACGAUCAGUAGCCGGACUGAGAGGUUGGCCGGCCACAUUGGGACUGAGACACGGCCCAGACUCCUACGGGAGGCAGCAG